rnacentral:rRNA from 1 species
AAUAUUUGACAAUGGGCGAAAGCCUGAUCCAGCCAUGCCGCGUGUGUGAAGAAGGUCUUCGGAUUGUAAAGCACUUUAAGUUGGGAGGAAGUGCAGUAAGUUAAUACCUUGCUGUUUUGACUUUACCGACAGAAUAAGCACCGGCUAACUCUGUGCCAGCAGCCGCGGUAAUACAGAGGGUGCAAGCGUUAAUCGGAAUUACUGGGCGUAAAGCGAGCGUAGGUGGCUUGAUAAGUCAGAUGUGAAAGCCCCGGGCUCAACCUGGGAACUGCUUUCAAAACUGGCAAGCUAGAGUAUGGCAGAGGGUGGUGGAAUUUCCUGUGUAGCGGUGAAAUGCGUAGAUAUAGGAAGGAACACCAGUGGCGAAGGCGACCACCUGGGCUAAUACUGACACUGAGGUGCGAAAGCGUGGGGAGCAAAC